CAGGUACACAGCAAGCAAUAACAGUGGAAGAGGAACCUGGCCAUGUGGGCCCCUUGCCGUACUCCCCACACCAGGAGGUUGUGCAACCUCUGGCAUGUUCAUGUGACCGUUGCGCCACACAAAUGAAAAACCAGGACAAGACUGACCAGCCAUGUUUCUGGAGUCGAGGGCUCCUCUGCGAGGGGCACCAUCUGGACACAGCAAGAAGGCAGCUGUCCGUAAGCCAGGAAGCAGGCCGUCCCGAGGACCCCAACCAGCCGGCACCUUGAUCUUCCAGCCUCCAGAACGGAAGCUGCUUUGCUGGAGAGAGCCUGGCUGCCUGCGCUAGUUUCCGGCAGUAAGAAAGGACUGCCUUGGACUGGAGGAGGGCCUGCCAGCUGGAGUGUGUCAGGGCCAAGGUGAGACUCCAAAUCCCAGAAGACAUCUCCGAGAGGCCUUUGGAAUUUCAUCAAGUGUUUAGAAUGGCAACAGGCUCC